CCUACGGGAGGCAGCAGUGGGGAAUAUUGGGCAAUGGGCGCAAGCCUGACCCAGCAACGCCGCGUGAAGGAAGAAGGCCCUCGGGUUGUAAACUUCUUUUAUUCGGGACGAAACAAAUGACGGUACCGAAUGAAUAAGCCACGGCUAACUACGUGCCAGCAGCCGCGGUAAUACGUAGGUGGCAAGCGUUAUUCGGAUUUACUGGGUGUAAAGGGCGUGUAGGCGGUAGAGCAAGUCAGACGUGAAAUUCCAGGGCUAAACCGUGGAACUGAGAUUGAAACUGGUCAUCUUGGGUGAUGAGGGGGAGGCGGAAUUCCGUGUGUAGCAGUGAAAUGCGUAGAUAUACGGAGGAACACCAGUGGCGAAGGCGGCCUGCUGGACAUUAACUGACGCUGAGGCGCGAAGGCGUGGGGAGCAAACAGGAUUAGAUACCCGAGUAGUC
rnacentral:rRNA from 1 species